rnacentral:rRNA from 1 species
GGGGAAUUUUCCGCAAUGGGCGCAAGCCUGACGGAGCAACGCCGCGUGAGGGAGGAAGGCCUGUGGGUCGUAAACCUCUUUUCUCAGGGAAGAAGUUCUGACGGUACCUGAGGAAUCAGCAUCGGCUAACUCCGUGCCAGCAGCCGCGGUAAGACGGAGGAUGCAAGCGUUAUCCGGAAUUAUUGGGCGUAAAGCGUCCGUAGGUGGUUUCGAAAGUCUGUUGUUAAAGCUCACAGCUCAACUGUGAAUCGGCAAUGGAAACUACGAGACUAGAGUGUGGUAGGGGUAGAGGGAAUUCCUAGUGUAGCGGUGAAAUGCGUAGAUAUUAGGAAGAACACCAGUGGCGAAGGCGCUCUACUGGGCCAUAACUGACACUGAUGGACGAAAGCUAGGGGAGCGAAAGGGAUUAGAUACCCCAGUAGUC